rnacentral:miRNA from 1 species
UGGUUUGCCUGGGACUGAAGGGUUUCACAGGAUGUGAGACUCUCAGUGCUAAAUGCGGGAA